rnacentral:rRNA from 1 species
UACGUAGGGUGCGAGCGUUGUCCGGAAUUAUUGGGCGUAAAGGGCUCGUAGGCGGUUUGUCGCGUCGGGAGUGAAAUCCACUGGCUUAACUGGUGGCUUGCUUUCGAUACGGGCAGACUGGAGGUAUGCAGGGGAGAACGGAAUUCCUGGUGUAGCGGUGAAAUGCGCAGAUACCAGGAGGAACACCGGUGGCGAAGGCGGUUCUCUGGGCAUGUCCUGACGCUGAGGAGCGAAAGUGUGGGGAGCGAACAGG